GAUGAAGAACGUAGCGAAAUGCGAUAAGUAAUGUGAAUUGCAGAAUUCAGUGAAUCAUCGAAUCUUUGAACGCACAUUGCGCCCGCCAGUAUUCUGGCGGGCAUGCCUGUUCGAGCGUCAUUUCAACCAUCAAGCCCCCGGCUUGGGUUGGGGACCUGCGGCUGCCGCAGGCCCUGAAAAGCAGUGGCGGGCUCGCUGUCACACCGAGCGUAGUAGCAUACAUCUCGCUCUGGGCGUGCUGCGGGUUCCGGCCGUUAAACCACCUUCAUAACCCAAGGUUGACCUCGGAUCAGGUAGGAAGACCCGCUGAACUUAAGCAUAUCAAUAAGCGGAGGA
rnacentral:misc_RNA from 1 species